rnacentral:rRNA from 1 species
GCGGUAAUUCCAGCUCCAAUAGCGUAUAUUAAAGUUGUUGCAGUUAAAAAGCUCGUAGUUGAAUUUCGGGGUUAGUAGGUUGGUCAUGCCUCUGGUAUGUACUGGUCUCACUGAUUCCUCCUUCCUGAUGAGCCGUAAUGCCAUUAAUUUGGUGUUGCGGGGAAUUUGGACUGUUACUUUGAAAAAAUUAGAGUGUUUAAAGCAAGCUAACGCUUGAAUACAUUAGCAUGGAAUAAUGAAAUAGGACGUUUGAUUCUAUUUUGUUGGUUUCUAGGAUCGACGUAAUGCUUAAUAGGGAUAGUUGGGGGCAUUAGUAUUCAAUUGUCAGAGGUGAAAUUCUUGGAUUUAUUGAAGACUAACUACUGCGAAAGCAUUUGCCAAGGACGUUUUCAUUAAUCAAGAACGAAAGUUAGGGGAUCGAAGACGAUCAGAUACCGUCGUAGUCUUAACCAUAAACUAUGCCGACUAGGGAUCGGAUGAU